ACACACACACACACACACACGAACGCAUGCACGAAUGCACGCACGCACGCACACACAUAGAGAAUCAUAUAUAAACAGAAUCUACUGAAUCCCAUUAGUGUUCUUAGGUCAAUAAUGUUCUUUGUGUAUAAGGAUAGAGUUGCAAUACAGUUAGGAAUUAUAAUGGUUUAUGGAAGUAGUGUUAAUUUCCUUUAAUUUAUGGCGUCAUUCCUCACAUGACCUUUGCUGUUUUACAUUAUGAGGCAUGAAUUUUUUUUUGUUAGGCAUGACCUGGAUGCCAUCAAGUAACUAAUAGUUCUGGAUAAGCUAUAAGAGCCACUAGUUUAUCUUUAAUGUUAUCUUGCCAUGUUGGAAAUGGCAUUAUAACUAGGCUGGAGAAUUUAACACUUUCCUCCCUUCCUGGUCUCUGAAAGCUAGGGUUCUCAGAAAUAAAGUUUGAUGUAUUCAAGUUCAAAUUCUCCUUGAUCCAAAUCAAUGCAGUGAUUUCUACAGUGGGAAUUUACCUGUCACUUAUUGUAGUCAACCAAGUGUGAUGGCAAUAUACUGUACUCCUUUGGUAGUUUCUUGGUCUCCACUUGUAAACAACUCAAAAGUGGUUUUCUUUUGUCCUUUGGUUUGUCUUUGUAAGAGAGUAGGAGGCUUCCUUAAAGAGGCAUAGACAAUAGAGAGUGUGGGGAAGGUUAUCACCAAGAUGAGGUCACCUGGGCAAUCACAAUAAUUUGAGAAAUCACAGGUUAACAGUCUUUUUCUCCUUGGUGGCAGGUAUGCUUGACACCUGUAUGACUGAUUUCUACCUGGGAAUGCUACAUCAGUAACAGAAGUAUCAGCAAGCCGCUGCAGAGGAAUCCUGGCUUCUUCAGUGUUUACAGAGAAAUGUCACUCAUGACGAGAUUCAGCUCUGAGAGAUACUUCUGGUGUAAGGAUCCCGAUGAAGUGUCUCACAAGCCUGCUCAUGGUAUUCUCAGACUCAGUCACACAGGAACUGCUUCUGAGGAGGUUUCCCUGAAGAUACAGCCAAAACAGCUUCCUGGUGAGUCUGACAGUGCUGUUAGUGGAAUUUGCAUCCAAGUACUACAGCCAUGCUUCCUCUCUGCAUCCUGAGAAGCUGACAAUGGAGGAGACCACUUCCCUGAGCUUAUGAUAUGAACUACAAAUACAGUCCUGGAUAGGAGUUGAUUUUUGUGGUCCAAGAUGUAAUAAUGCUGGCAUUCAUCUGGUUUGCACAAUAUUAUUCUUUCUUGUAAAUCUCAUUGUAAAAUCUUUCUAAAAUAUUUACAUAUGUGAGAGUAAUUUUAAUGCAGUCCCAUAUAUAAUGGACACAAUU